UACGUAGGGGGCAAGCGUUGUCCGGAUUUAUUGGGCGUAAAGAGCGUGUAGGCGGCUUUACAGGUCCGUUGUGAAAACUCGAGGCUCAACCUCGAGACGCCGGUGGAAACCGUAAAGCUAGAGUCCGGAAGAGGAGAGCGGAAUUCCUGGUGUAGCGGUGAAAUGCGCAGAUAUCAGGAGGAACACCCGUGGCGAAAGCGGCUCUCUGGGACGGUACUGACGCUGAGGAGCGAAAGUGUGGGGAGCGAACAGG
rnacentral:rRNA from 1 species